GCUGCGAAGCGCGCCUGGACUUUAGCAGACCGCGAAGGGCGUCAGAGGCGGCAGCUGCGGGGCGCGGGGAGGCUUGAACUAUUUGGGGGCGACCCGCGCGGCGCAUCGCCGUUUUAAAUCCCUCCCCAAGAUCCCUGGCACGCCGGAGCUGGACGGGAAUGGAGUUCCAGAACCACACGCCAAAGGCCCCGGGACUGAAAGGAGCAGUUUAAACCCAAAAGCAACCCCAGCCCUACAAACGGGGGAUAAAGGCCACAGCUUCCUUGUAUGUACAUGGAUCUUCCAGUUGAAGAUCCAUGCAUAUGGAGAGAGAACAAUAAUGGCAUCAACAUUCCCUCCGCACUAAGGAGAACUUUGCUCCAAGUAUCUCACCGCUGAAUGUUUUGUCCUCCUAUGUUGAGCAGCACGGCAAGUUGGCUCUCAGGGUUCAUUUCCUUUGGACCCCCAAAUCCAGGGCCUGAUACUGCAAGGAUCCUGGAUGCCUCUUGAGAUGAAGGGGAUUUCUUCAUUAAAGUGCUGAGAAAAGUCCAGAGUAACAUGAUUUCCUGUUGAGAUUCUCUCAGAAGUUCCUCUGCUUUUCUUGGGACCAUGUGAACCAUGCAGAGUCAGCAGCCGUGUGACACAGCAAGAAAUAAUCUGCCCAGCUCUGGGGUCAAAAACAUUUCUAUCCCACAAGACGAGAAGGACAAUAGGGUUUAUUUUCCCCUUUAUUUAUUUUUAUUUAUUUAUUUAUUUAUUAUUUAUUUGAUGCAUCUCAGAAGCAAUAUACAUCCCAUCUUCUCUGGAAGAACUGUUUCACACUAGCAAGUUCAAGCUUUUUCGUUAGCGACUGUGGACAUCUUUCUAAAAGCAAUGCUCUUGUUCAGCCACAUGUUCCUGGGUGGAAUUUUAUGGCCCAAAUUACGCAGGUCCGAUUCGUUGAUACUAAUGGUCCCUCCUGUACAUACAUGGAGGGAUAAUAUAAUAAAUUCUGGCUCCGGUUGGCUAACCUCCCCUAAAUUGCCGCAUGUAGGCAGUGCAACCUAGCGGUCAGAGCAGAAUCAGCAGGCAGAGCCAGGCAAGCCAACGGCUGGAGCCGGAAGUCAGAACAGAACCAAACGGGAUAGCCUGAGUCGUGGUCAGGAGGCAAGCCAGUGGUCAGAGCCAGGAGGCAGGCAGGGACUAGGCUGGAGCAGAGCAGACAAAGGGCGGAGCAUGGCCUAGACAGGAAGCAGGUAUGGGGCAGCUGCAGGCAUGGGGCACAUUGAGCAGCCACCGUGUUGCUGUUGCUACAGGGUUUAUAUAGUGAUCUGUUGGCUCUUCUGACCAACCACGAAGCACAGUCACUUAGUGCAGGUUUAUUGGGACUAGCCCAGUCUGGAGGCAGCUGAGUUCCUGGCACACACGUUGCAAAAGUGACAACAUCAUGUGCUCACCUGCUCCGAUGUCACCAACUCUCAUGGUUUUAACAUGCGUCUCACAAUAGUUGGUCUUUCUUUCAAAGCUCCAGCUCCUGGAGUCAUGGGGUUAAACGUUCAUUACAAAAAUCAAAGCAAGUUUCUAGCUCUCAGGUUUGUGCAGAACAGCUUGAAAAUAUGACCCAAGUGCAUCUAAAAGUCUAGCAGGCAAAUGAAAAUAACCCGUUUUUAAAAAAAAAAGCAUGAAUUUUAUGCCAUUCUCAUGAUUUUAAAGCGUGUGACUUAUGAUGUGUGUAUAUUUGGGAUUGGCACUAAUGGCCCAGCCUGACAUAAAGCUCAUUUGAACACUGUAAUGCCAAGAAUAGGAAUAAUUUAAGGAGCAAUUGCAUGCAAGCAAUUGUAUAUGUGGGGAAAUGACUUUCCCCCUUCAUUGGUUAAGCUACUGGACUUUCAGCAUAAGGGAGUUCGAUGUAAACCAACGUUCAGAGAAGGUUUGUUUAGAAAGGUGAGGGACAUGAAGAAGCAGAAAAGGCUCAGUUUCAUCAUGGUCCAGUUCCUUCCAUGAUGAAGCCAUGGAAUACCCACAGAGGAGUUUCCUCCACAACCUGGGGAGGAAGCAGGAUCAAGGCAACCUGUUUUUUGCUAUGCAUUGCAGUCACCAAUCAGGAUCUGGCUCAGAACCUUCAGGCUGCAGCUAAGUCUUGCCAAAGCAUUUUCCAGAUUGUCUGAAAGUUAAUGAGCUGACUUACUUUUUUUUUUCUUUUUAGCAUAUUGGCUUAAACCAUCAAAGAUCAAAUAUCAUGGGAAAUACUGAGAAUUAAUGUAACAUAAUGUAACUAUUGGCCUUUAUCCAUCCAGGGUCUUUUCCUGGGGUUAUUAAUGCCUUUGCGAGGGGAAUUCAGGGACACAUGCCUUCUCUUUUAAAACAUCUAUGUGGAAUUUUCACAGAAAAGAGAAGCAGGUAUUUUAAUGAUUUUGUACAAUGACUGAAUCAAAAUUGAAAAUACCAUGGUCUCAUUUUAACAUGGUAUUCUGGUUAUCUUAUGACACAACAAGGAAGUAGAUACAAGCCAGCAUUUUUCA